UACGUAGGGGGCAAGCGUUGUCCGGAUUUAUUGGGCGUAAAGAGCGUGUAGGCGGCCAUACAGGUCCGUUGUGAAAACUGGAGGCUUAACCUCCAGACGUCGAUGGAAACCGUAUGGCUAGAGUCCGGAAGAGGAGAGUGGAAUUCCUGGUGUAGCGGUGAAAUGCGCAGAUAUCAGGAAGAACACCGGUGGCGAAGGCGGUGAUCUGGGCCGACACUGACGCUGUAGAGCGAAAGCGUGGGGAGCGAACAGG
rnacentral:rRNA from 1 species